AUAUAAGUAAGCGGAGGAAAAGAAACUAAACAGGAUUCCCUCAGUAAUGGCGAAUGAACAGGGAUGAGCUCAACGUGUAAAUCAGAGCCUUCGCGGGCUUUGAAUUGUAGUCUCAAGACGCAUUGCCAGCGCGGGCGCAAGUGAAAGCCUCUUGGAAAAGAGCAUCAUCGAGGGUGAGAAUCCCGCUUGUCAUUUGCAGUCCUGGGCGGACGGCGUGCGAUCAACGAGUCACGUUCCUCGGGAUUGGAGCGCAAAGGGGUGGUAAAUUUCAUCUCAAGCUAAAAAUGAGUUCGAGACCGAUAGCGCACAAGUA
rnacentral:rRNA from 1 species